UAGAGUUUGAUCCUGGCUCAGAACGUACGCUGGCGGCACGCCUAACACAUGCAAGUCGAACGAAGUAGCAAUACUUAGUGGCAGACGGGUGAGUAACAUGUAGGUAUCUACCCUUUGGCCUGGAAUAACACGAGGAAACUUGUGCUAAUACCGGAUAAGUCUUUACGGAGAAAGCUUUAUGCACCAUUGGAUGAGCCUGCACUUGAUUAGUUUGUUGGUGGGGUAAUGGCCUACCAAGACUUUGAUCAAUAGCUGAUUUGAGAGGAUGAUCAGCCACAUUGGGACUGAGACACGGCCCAAACUCCUACGGGAGGCAGCAGUGGGGAAUCUUGCACAAUGAAGGAAACUCUGAUGCAGCGAUGCCGCGUGGGUGAAGAAGGCCUUUGGGUUGUAAAGCUCUUUCGUCGGGGAAGAAAAUGACUGUACCCGAAUAAGAAGGUCCGGCUAACUUCGUGCCAGCAGCCGCGGUAAUACGAAGGGACCUAGCGUAGUUCGGAAUUACUGGGCUUAAAGAGUUCGUAGGUGGUUGAAAAAGUUGGUGGUGAAAUCCCAGAGCUUAACUCUGGAACUGCCAUCAAAACUUUUCAGCUAGAGUUUGAUAGAGGAAAGCAGAAUUUCUAGUGUAGAGGUGAAAUUCGUAGAUAUUAGAAAGAAUACCAAUUGCGAAGGCAGCUUUCUGGAUCAUUACUGACACUGAGGAACGAAAGCAUGGGUAGCGAAGAGGAUUAGAUACCCUCGUAGUCCAUGCCGUAAACGAUGUGUGUUAGACGUUGGAAAUUUAUUUUCAGUGUCGCAGCGAAAGCGAUAAACACACCGCCUGGGGAGUACGACCGCAAGGUUAAAACUCAAAUGAAUUGACGGGAACCCGCACAAGUAGUGGAGCAUGUGGUUUAAUUCGAAGAUACGCGCAGAACCUUACCAACACUUGACAUGUUCGUCGCGACUUUAAGAGAUUAAAGUUUUCGGUUCGGCCGGACGAAACACAGGUGCUGCAUGGCUGUCGUCAGCUCGUGUCGUGAGAUGUUGGGUUAAGUCCCGCAACGAGCGCAACCCUCACUUUUAGUUGCCAUCAUUAAGUUGGGCACUCUGAAAGAACUGCCAGUGAUAAGCUGGAGGAAGGUGGGGAUGACGUCAAGUCCUCAUGGCCCUUACGUGUUGGGCUACACACGUGCUACAAUGGUAUUUACAACAGGAAGCAAAACGGCGACGUUAAGCAAAUCCUUAAAAAAUACCUCAGUUCGGAUUGCACUCUGCAACUCGAGUGCAUGAAGCUGGAAUUACUAGUAAUCGUGGAUCAGCGUGCCACGGUGAAUGCGUUCCCGGGUCUUGUACACACCGCCCGUCACACCAUGGGAGUUGGUUCUACCUUAAGGCAAGGUUUUAAACCCUUGACCACGGUAUAGUCAGCGACUGGGGUGAAGUCGUAACAAGGUAACCA
rnacentral:rRNA from 1 species